rnacentral:rRNA from 1 species
UCCGUAGGUGGAUAAUUAAGUCAGAGGUGAAAUCCUGCAGCUCAACUGUAGAAUUGCCUUUGAUACUGGUUAUCUUGAGUCAUUAUGAAGUGGUUAGAAUGUGUAGUGUAGCAGUGAAAUGCAUAGAUAUUACACAGAAUACCGAUUGCGAAGGCAGAUCACUAAUAAUGUACUGACACUGAGGGACGAAAGCGUGGGGAGCGAACAGGAUUAGAUACCCUGGUAGUCC